rnacentral:rRNA from 1 species
GUCUCUGCUUUUAACUAGAUAGCAACUUUCAGCAGUGGAUGUCUAGGCUCGCACAUCGAUGAAAAACGCUGCGAACUGCGAUACGUAAUGCGAAUUGCAGGAUUCAGUGAGUCAUCGAAAUUUUGAACGCAUAUUGCACUUCCGGGUUAGUCCUGGGAGUAUG